rnacentral:lncRNA from 1 species
CUAAAAGUUCUAAGAAAUACAACUUGCAAGCGUAAGAACUGUAACAAUUUUGAAAAUAUCUAUGUUUUAUUAGUUAUCUGACCAAGAAUAUGCUACAGGACAUGAGAGGAGAGGCUGGGUUAUUUACAAUUUUUUUCUAUACAUUGGGCUUUAGCCUAAAAUCUCAUAAAAGUAACACUUCUUUAAAACCUAACUUAAAUCCUACAAUUACAGAGAACAGAUACAUCUGGUUAAGGUGACACAUUUCUUCUCUGGCUAGAGUGAUGGCCGUGUCUUCUUCACCCCCUUAUACGUGGUGAGGAAGCCAGCUGGGAAAAUUAACCGAAUUGUCAGGAGAAUGAGAAAGAAGCGCUGCUUGGUCUAUGGGCAGAUACUAAGGUUCUAGAGCCCUUGUUGCCUUGAAAGAGAAGGAGGUAAAUACAUGUAAAUGCGAUAAAACCGGAAAAGGAUCACGAAUCAGCGAGACCUUAAGGGCCUCAAACAGCUUCUUAACAUAAUACAGGGAACAUUCUCUUUUGUGACUACGGGUUCACACGCUCACGUCCUGACAGGCUAGUAAUUCAUUUUGAUAUGCCCAGUCCAUGCUUUGCUAGACUGCAGUAAAAUAAAUAACUCUACAGAGGACAUCUUUAGCUGCAGAGGAAGGACUGGGGAGUAUUCCCUGUCAGUCAGUGACCACAGGCCACACCCACAGGCAGAUUCAGAAUAUUUUGUUUUGGUAUGAGAGUGUUAAGCACUGUAUGUUUUGUGUUGUGUGUUUUGGGUUUUUUUUUUUUUUUUUUUUUGCUAACUUUUGUUGGUCUUUACCUCAGUUCAGAUUCCACCCUUUGUUGUUUCUGGGAAUGCAGAUGGCCUUUUACAGAGGCACAAAAGCAAUAAACACCAGUGGAUGGCCACACUUCAGAUUUCAAAUGCUGGACCUUGCUAGGGCUGGACACAGUGCUCCUAGGUGGCAAUGGCAGCAUGGGAGAGUGAGCCCCUGGCAUUCUACAGAGCCUGUGACUUUCUCAUGGGACUGUCACUUGGGGUGGGAUCCUAUCCUGAGUCAAGAAGGGGUCGAUCCUUCUUGAUCAACCUCUCUCAUCACUUUUCAAAAUGUUUCACUCUCCUGGGAGACCAGCACAGUGCCCAUCCACCCUUCAGCCACUGAGGCCCCUUGCAGAAACGGUUUCAGCUCCGAGUUCCAGAAUGUCCUUGGAAAGCCUUUCACCCACAGCACCUGCCUACACCAACAGCCGGAGGGCCGUGAGGCCAGAGCCGUGGUUUGCUACUUCUUUUUUUUUUUUUUAAUUGAGAUCAUAAUAUAUAUCCUCCUCCCGUCCUUCCCUCCCUCCAAACUCCUCCACAUAGCCCUCGUUGCUCUCUUUCAGACUCAUGGUCUCUGCUUUUCAUUAACUAUUGUUACAUACAUACAGGUAUGUAUGUUCCUAAACACACACAUAACCUGUCCAGUCUGUUCCAUGUUACUUAUGUUUUCAGGGCUCUCCGUUUGGUACUGGUGAACAACUGGUGUGCUCGUCCCUGGUUAAGACCGUUUCUCCUACUGCCAGCAUCCCUUAGUUUCCCCUAGCUCUGGGUAGGGUUGAGGCCCCAUGAGCUGCCCCCAGGCCCCAGUCCACUUUGGCAAGCCUACUGCUCUUGCUCAGCUCAUGCUGAGGAAGCCAUGGAUUGGUGUACCUUGGCAGUCCUAGGACACAGGAUCUCACAGCAGCAAGGUUUGCUGAUUGUUUACUUUAAAAACUCUUCAACCAUGUGGGUGACAGUGCUUAACUAGCAACUGUUCCAAACACUUCUUACUUGGAAAACUAGUUUUUUACAUACCUCAGUUUAAACUGGAUCUUCUGAACCGCUGUCUAUCUAGCACAGGGGCGGCAUUUUCUUCCUAGGCAGGAAAGGGUUUAACAUUAUGUAAGACUUUAAAUCUCUUUCUACUUAAUUAGUCUCAACCAGGGAUUCUCAACCUUUGCCAAGCGAUGAGCCAAUUAAACCCUGUCCAGAGCCAGCUCACUGCUAUCGGUAAAUCUCUAGUGCUCAGCUCACUGUGUAACUCCAGCCUAGACUUCAGCUUGAGUGCCCAAGGGUGCCACGUCAGAGGGCUCACCUGCCCCAAGCACGAGGGGGUCCCCAUUCACUUGCAUUCUGCUGUGUCUACUUAGCCCAGGAAAGAAGACGGGGGAUAAGGUAGGAUGGGACCCAUAGCACAGAUUUGCCAAAAAUGUUAAUUUGAUAGCACCCUCCUUUCUACCUAAUCCUUCAAGGUCAUUCACCCAUAAAUUAAAAGGGACUCUAGGCUCUCUUUUCCUGGAAAGUACAUUGAUCUAUUCAGGAGUUUGCCAGGAAUUCAUGGAUUUUUUUUUUUAAUUCAGGGAUAUUUCUAAAGAGGCUGAGAAUUCCUGGUGUAACCAAAAAUUACGUGGUCUUAAAACCUUUUAAAUUUAAUACUUUAGCUAGGCCAAAAGAAAAAAGAAAGAUUUAAUUUCAUUCAAAAAAUUCUAAUGAUUAGUAAGAAAAAAAUCAUGAUCACAGAUUAUUUUAUUAUAGCACCAGAACAUGCGAAUUAGCUUAAGUUCUCGAGAUGAGUACUUAUUUAAGCACAAACAACUCUUAAAAUUACUUUGGUUAGGCAAUUAAGAUUAUCCUGACUAUAUUUAAAACCUAUACAAAAUAACACACAAAAACAAGUUCUCUUAUUGAAAAUACUUCAGAUUUGCAUUUUUAGUUUUAUGAGAUAGGGUCUCACACAGCUCAGGCGGGUCUCAAAAUCUCUAUGUAGCUGAGGUUGACCUUGAACCCCUGAUUCUCCUGCUUCUGUCUCCUGAGUACUGGGAUUACAGGCAGAAUCACUACGCUCAGUGAGGCUUACAAUUCACAGUGUAGACGUCUUAGUCAUCCAGCACUGGGAAAGUAGACUCACGCCUUUAAUCCCGGCACCGGGGAGCAGAGGCAGGUGACUCUCUGAGUUCAAGGUCAGCCUGGUCUACAGAGUGAGUGAGUUCCAGGACAGCCAGGGCUGCAGAUGUACUCAGAAAAUGACCCUCCAGAAGGCCACGGUGUUGGUGUUAGGAUGCUAUGUCAACAGAGCUGAAGGUGGAGCCAAGUGACUCAGAGUUUUUGAGAUUGGCAGGGUUUAAGCUUGGCUCACUUUUCUAUUGUUUCAUUCAGCUUAAAGCAGUUUUUCCUGUGUGAAAAUCAGACUGAGCUAUGCAUUAUAGACACAGACACACACUGACAUGCAGCCUCAGAAAUAAUGGUGACUCGGGGAUCCAUCUGGCCUGUCACUUUCUGUGUCAAUAGGAGAGAGCAACGUCCAGAACGUACACAUAAUAAGCUGCUAUUCUACAGGGAUCUGGACCACUGCCUCUAGCUACAGAGAUGGACUUCUCAGUGCUGUGGUGCCCACGUGCUCUGGGAUGCUGUGCUUCAAGAAAGCAGGCACAGUGGCUUCGGAGCCAACCUCUCUCAGAAAGACAAUAAGGGCUGCCUGGAAAUUCUGAAAAUUUCAUGACCUACAUGUAAGUCUUUACAUACUCCAGUCAUAGGACAAAACAGACACACAGAUCAUGUUUUAAUUUUUAAUCAGAAUGGGAAUUGUCAUUGCUAUAGUGAAUAAAACUCCGUGAGUCAGAAUGGCAUGCAACUCUUUAUUGUUCCUAGUCCCCGUGUGCACUUGGCACUCCAGCAUUAACUUCACAGACAGUGUGAAUAAAGGGCUCCCAUGACCGUGAGCUAUAACUACUCACCUGGAAAGAAACCAAACUGCCUCUCAAGUACCCAUCACAUGAUAUUGCAUAAUGUCAGUAACAUCGUGCUGUUUUUAAUGUUUAAAAAUACCUGUUAAAGAUCAUGCAACAUAUGCACUUCAUGAAAAUGCUCAAUUACACUCAAACAGCAAGGCAGUGGGACACGGAGCAGCUAUGAGCACAGUGUCAAGUGAACCACACAGGUCCAGUCAGUGAUGGACAUCUCACUGAGCACUAAGCCUGCAACCUUACCAUCUACAAUUCUACCCAUGGCUCAGGACACACCACUAGAGCUGAUCUACGUAAACACACUAUGAUCAAAUGACAAACAGUUUCAAUGCAGGAUGAAGACAGGCACACCUCUAGCCUAAAUGUAUGUGGUCAUUCUCCUAGCUCUGCUAAGAAUAAUAAAAGUGUCAAGGUCACACCAGCUCCGCCUCUAUUCUUGCUUUGUUGUAUGCUUUCAAAUUCCUUUUUAAAACCAUGCCUCCAUUUUUAUAAUCCACCCCCCUCCCCAGAACUAAAAUGCUGAUUUAGGAACAGAUACGUUAAAUAAUUGCAGUACAGAGGCAGUGAUUUAAUGUUAGCAAACUAAAUACUGUCAUUUGUCUAGUACCACCGUCACUAACUCCUUUAAUGUCUUCCCAAAUCUCUGGAGGAAGGAAAGGCCUAGCACUUGGGGCUGGGGACGUAGCUAGUCACUAGAGGACUUAGAUCUGUGAGGUCCUGCGUUUCAUCACCAGUACCACUAACUUUUCUUUAGCCAUGAGCAUUACUUAGUAGCUGCAGAACAGACUAAGAUGGUUUUGAGGGCACAGGUGGGUGGUGUCGGAAGCCAGGGCUGGGUUGGAAAGAGUAUCCCAGGAAUACACUGCCCUCCUCCAACUCCUCUGCUAACGACUCACCAUGGCCCAGGCCACUGCUUUGGGCUCUGCUAACUCACUUAAUCAUCAACUUUUACGCCCUCUUUAGUAUGUAUUUUCUACUUAAAUUUUAAGACCUCUUAAAAGCAAUGAUUCUUAUACAGAACACUGGCUAUCCAUUUGCUAGGUAUUCACUUUUAGUUUCUGGGCUACUCUAAAACCUAUAAAUCUGCACCAAGAUUAAACACUACCAGUGAAAUUGGUUUCUGCUUCAUCUAAUACUAUAUCUCCCCUCAAAUGUUACAUGAAUAGUUUAUAAAGGAGAUCUCUGGGUUUAUUUCCUUGUGACUUAAGCCCUUUCAAUUUAAAUACAUUUCCGACCUCUCUCUGUAUUCAGCCUGAUCUCAUCUCUGCAGAGCUGUGCGUCAGGAAAGGGCACAGCAGUGGUAGUGAGACGUUAAAGUGCCUGUGGUGACGGUGACAAUGGAGAUGACUGGUGACCGUCCUGUCAGGCUUUCCCGUCUGCUUCCCCAGUGCCUGCCACCUAUCAGGUGUCUGUGAUGCAUAAACACGAUGAGUAAUGAGGAUGGGUCAACUCAAAGCUUAUGACACUCUUGUCCUCAGGUAGGACAACGCUACUUCACUUCUCUCUUCCUCAGAGAAUGCUUUCUCUCUCUUCCCCAAAGCCCGUGCUAUCUGAGGAGGCUGCAUGCAGCUCAGACGCAUCUUUCGAGAGCCUGGUGUAACUGGAGCGCUGGCUUCGCUUGUGCGCCAUGCUCUUCAGGUUUUCAUUCUGCACAGCAGUUGGGUUGGGACUGGGCCCAGGCCUCAAAAUGACCUGGGAUGUUUCCCUGACUCCCUCUAUCUCAUCAAAGUUCUGAUUGGCUCUGUUGGUGGGCGCAGUGUUGUUGUUCAGAGUCACAGUGCUGGGUGUUCGGUUUAGAUUGUAGGCCUUCUGGCACGAAGGCCAGCUUUCUUCAGGGCUGCUAGCGAUCAGGCUGCACUCAGAGGGGCUUUUCUUGUCUUCCGAGCAAAUGGACAUCCGAGCUAUGACAGGAUCUUGCAGGCCACUCAGACUGUGUGGCAUCCCUCGCUUCCCACUGUGGCCCUCAUCUUCAAGCUCGAUGAGAUUCGCCUUUUCCAGCUGGGAGUCAUCCGCUGCCUCAUUGUGGAGAGAGUGGUUGGGAGAACUCUCAUUGGACCUCACUCCCGAAUCGGAGGAAUCUUUCUUGUCGAGGAGGGCGUCCGACAAAUACUCUUUUGCUUUGAUGAAUGUUCUGAUAGGCUCGACGCUGUGCUCUGGAGACUUAGCCACUCUCUCUGCUUUGCCUUCGGCCUUUUUAUCCUUAUCAUCUUUGAGCAGUGGGGUAUUAUCUGACUCUUCUGUCCCAGACUCAUCUUCAUCACUGGGCAGUUUCUGGUAGCGCAGACCACUUCCCUUAAGCUUCAAGUCUGUCUGGAAGAGACUAGGCCGUUCUGAAGACUUCUUUCCUGGGAAUUGAGACUCGAGAGACUUGGGGUUCUGC